UACGUAGGGGGCAAGCGUUGUCCGGAUUUACUGGGCGUAAAGAGCGUGUAGGCGGCCAAACAGGUCCGUUGUGAAAACUCGAGGCUCAACCUCGAGACGCCGAUGGAAACCAUCUGGCUAGAGUCCGGAAGAGGAGAGUGGAAUUCCUGGUGUAGCGGUGAAAUGCGCAGAUAUCAGGAAGAACACCCGUGGCUAAGGCGGCUCUCUAGUACGGUACUGACGCUGAGACGCGAAAGCGUGGGGAGCGAACAGG
rnacentral:rRNA from 1 species